rnacentral:misc_RNA from 1 species
UUAUUAUGUUUUAUGCUCAAUUAAGAGACUGUUUACAUUCUUUACUUUAGUGUUUAAAAAGGUGUAGAAGUGUGUGCACAGUGUAAGAAAAUGAAUAGGUCGGACCUCUAAAAAGAGCAUCCUUGUAUUUCAUUAAUGAUCCUUCCGCAGGUUCACCUACGGAAA